rnacentral:rRNA from 1 species
UGGGGAAUUGUUCACAAUGGGCGCAAGCCUGAUGACGCAACGCCGCGUGGGGGAUGAAGGUCUUCGGAUCGUAAACCCCUGUCGAAUGGGACGAAAGACUCGCGAGUGAAUACUUCGCGAGAGUGACGGUACCGUUAAAGGAAGCCACGGCUAACUCUGUGCCAGCAGCCGCGGUAAUACAGAGGUGGCAAGCGUUGUUCGGAAUUACUGGGCGUAAAGGGCGCGUAGGCGGUUAUUCAAGUCAGAGGUGAAAGCCUGGAGCUCAACUCCAGAACUGCCUUUGAAACUAGAUAGCUAGAAUCACGGAGAGGUGAGUGGAAUUCCGAUUGUAGAGGUGAAAUUCGUAGAUAUUCGGAAGAACACCAGUGGCGAAGGCGGCUCACUGGACGUGUAUUGACGCUGAGGUACGAAAGCGUGGGGAGCAAACAGGAUUAGAUACCCGUGUAGUCCCUGAGCGGGCUGGCAAGGCGCAU